AGAGUUUGAUCCUGGCUCAGAUUGAACGCUGGCGGCAGGCCUAACACAUGCAAGUCGAGCGGAUGACGGGAGCUUGCUCCUUGAUUCAGCGGCGGACGGGUGAGUAAUGCCUAGGAAUCUGCCUGGUAGUGGGGGACAACGUUUCGAAAGGAACGCUAAUACCGCAUACGUCCUACGGGAGAAAGCAGGGGACCUUCGGGCCUUGCGCUAUCAGAUGAGCCUAGGUCGGAUUAGCUAGUUGGUGAGGUAAUGGCUCACCAAGGCGACGAUCCGUAACUGGUCUGAGAGGAUGAUCAGUCACACUGGAACUGAGACACGGUCCAGACUCCUACGGGAGGCAGCAGUGGGGAAUAUUGGACAAUGGGCGAAAGCCUGAUCCAGCCAUGCCGCGUGUGUGAAGAAGGUCUUCGGAUUGUAAAGCACUUUAAGUUGGGAGGAAGGGCAGUAAGCUAAUACCUUGCUGUUUUGACGUUACCGACAGAAUAAGCACCGGCUAACUCUGUGCCAGCAGCCGCGGUAAUACAGAGGGUGCAAGCGUUAAUCGGAAUUACUGGGCGUAAAGCGCGCGUAGGUGGUUCGUUAAGUUGGAUGYGAAAGCCCCGGGCUCAACCUGGGAACUGCAUCCAAAACUGGCSAGCUAGAGUAUGGUAGAGGGUGGUGGAAUUUCCUGUGUAGCGGUGAAAUGCGUAGAUAUAGGAAGGAACACCAGUGGCGAAGGCGACCACCUGGACUGAUACUGACACUGAGGUGCGAAAGCGUGGGGAGCAAACAGGAAUUAGAUACCCUGGUAGUCCACGCCGUAAACGAUGUCAACUAGCCGUUGGAAUCCUUGAGAU
rnacentral:rRNA from 1 species